rnacentral:lncRNA from 1 species
ACAUAAACCUAAUAAAAAUUGCAUGACAAGAGUAGAAACUUAAUUUUUAGGAGCAUUCAUCAUUGUAGAUUUAUUUUUGAUGAUCGCUGGAGACAAGAUAAGCUUUCAAGUUUUAUUAGUUUCAUGCAUCUAAUUUAGUUGCAUAGAACCCCUUGUUUGAAAUUGAUUGUGCAUAUUCAUCUCAAAUCAAUUUAAGGGCAAUACCCAUAACAAGAUAAAGUGAAGAUUUCAUCACCCUUUCUUAGCUCAAAAACAACCAACCAGCAUCUUGCAUUAACCCAAAUCUAACUAAAAUCAAGUAGACAUUGGCCCCU